rnacentral:lncRNA from 1 species
UAUAUUAGAAACUGUUUAAUUAAAUAAAUAUUAAGUUACACCGUUUUCACCCAUAAUAUAAUUCAUCAUCAUGCCUAGCAACAAAUGAAUCAGUAGUACCAGAGAUUGGAAAUAAUAUGGGCGGCCGGCCAUUAUUCUUUGCUUCAAUCAUCAUCGUCAAUUCAUGGGAUUACCGUAGCUUGAUCCUCCCAGAAACCCACCGCCGCCACCGGAACCACCGCCGUAAACAUCCGAUGCAUCUAAUAUGGGCGACGAAGACGACCCACCACCGCCACCGCCCAAGUGCAAGUCGGAGAAGUUGGGGAAAUUACCAU